UCUUUAACGAAAUACAGGGAGCAAAAGCAAAAGCAAAAAUGGCGGGAAUUGAUCCACUAAAACAUCUCCUUCGCUUCUGAGAAAUCUCAAGGAGAGAAAGUAGUUGGCUUGAAGAAGCAAAUCGAAGAGCUCCGAUCAUAGAUUGAAGCAGCGAAUUCUGAGAUUGAAGAAGCGAAACGUUUGAAAGAAACAACUGAACAAGAGCUUAAACGUUCGAAGUUGAAUUAGCUUUGAACGAAGCUUCGAUUCAAGCCCUAGAGUAUUGCUCUGAUUCAAGAUGAAAUAUCCAUUGUUGGAUCUGAAAUAAAGGAGCUUAAGGUAA